UUAAUAAUAAGUCAAAUCACCACCAUUCCCGACCAUCACCCACCUCCAAAUCAUCAACAUACCCUCCGGUGAAUCUUUAACACCGGCUACUCCCACCCAAGCUCCACCCUUUCCGACCACACACUGAUAAUCCCACAAUUGCUGCACCGCCACUGAGGAACAAAGCGAAUGGUUCUGCAAGAGUUAAGAUGGGUAAAACUGAAAUCAUAGCUGGUGUCAAGGCGAAUUACAAAUCAAAUGGCAGGUAGACGAGUAACAAGCUGCGCCGCUACCUCUUUCUGAAUAGCAAACCCUACCCUGCUAAACACAAAAUUCUGCCCCUUAACAUGUGCGGUGUUACUGCUUACCACCUGUUGAACUCGCUUUAAGAACCGCACCGCGUCAGAGGCGAGAGCGCCAAAUGUAUCGAAAGCGAAUGGGAUGAACACGUGCUGAUUCUCGAUGCAAGCUUUUUCGUGUUUAGCUACUUUGCCCGCCUCUGCCUUGGUUAUCGCCUGUCCUGUCACAAACCCGUGGUCCCUUAGCCCAACGAGGGGGGACACACCUGUCAAAUCGACACACGCGUGUUUCCCUCCUUCCCAUCCAAAAACAAGAAUGUCAACGGGCCAUAGCGUAGAUCUCCCUUCUAAUGGAUCAGUCAAGAAGUUCACCGGAGCUUCCUUUUUUGCCGAGAUCCCAGCUCGCUUAAGGACAUCAUACAACACAUCUCGAACUAAAUCAUGUCGAUACUUAAAGCCCGGUAAUUCUUUGCAAUGUACUGCAUGCUCCCCAAAAGAAUCCAAACAACACUUCCGACAUACAGGACACGGGUCAUCAGCCGGGAAAAGGGGUAUCAUUAAUCGGUAUUAUUUUUUAUUGUAGGCUGAGCUAGGAAGACCGAGUUCUUCAGCUCCUGAUAAAGGGACAGUUUCUAUCUUUGUUGAUUGCAGUCCCACUGCAGCACCACAGUUUG